rnacentral:rRNA from 1 species
UACGGGGGGGGGCAAGCGUUUGUUCGGAAAUUACUGGGCGUAAAAGGGCUCGUAGGCGGCCAACUAAGUCAGACGUGAAAUCCCUCGGCUUAACCGGGGAACUGCGUCUGAUACUGGAUGGCUAGAGUGUGGGAGAGGGAUGCGGAAUUCCAGGUGUAGCGGUGAAAUGCGUAGAUAUCUGGAGGAACACCGGUGGCGAAGGCGGCAUCCUGGACCACGACUGACGCUGAGGCGCGAAAGCGUGGGGAGCAAACAGGG